rnacentral:tRNA from 1 species
GGUUAGGCUCAGUUGGUAGAGCAGUUGACUUUUAAUCAAUUGGUCGCAGGUUCGAAUCCUGCACGACCCACCA